GCCCGUACCGCAAACCGACACAGGUAGUCAAGAUGAGAAUUCUAAGGUGAGCGAGCGAACUCUCGUUAAGGAACUCGGCAAAAUGACCCCGUAACUUCGGGAGACGGGGUGCUCUUUAGGGUUCACGCCCAGAAGAGCCGCAGUGAAUAGGCCCAAGCGACUGUUUAUCAAAAACACAGGUCUCUGCUAAACCGUAAGGUGAUGUAUAGGGGC
rnacentral:rRNA from 1 species